GGGAACGUGGCUCAGUGGUAGAGUACUUGCCUCUCAUGCAUGAGACCCUGGGUUCAAUUCCUCAGCACCA
rnacentral:tRNA from 1 species